ACAACAAGAACAAAAAAGCAGCGAACCCAUAAAAAUAAGACGUAUCGGCUCUGACAUAACAAGAACAACACGGCAGAGACGCAGCUAACAGAUUCUUUUGAAGUCGGUGUGCUUUCAGGGAACCUCCGGGUCACCCGCAACCGGGCAGAGAACAAUAAAACUACCUCAAGGUAGCGCCCGAACUGGUUGGAUCUCCUGAUAAGGCAGAUCAGCGCUCAAAAAAAUAUGUUUGCUCUUUGACCCCGGAUGGGGGUCGCCAAAAACAGCGGUCCAGGGCCACGGUCGACAAAAACAACAACAGGCCGCCCCUCAAUAACAAGAAAAGAGCACGCAAACGCAUUCAAGGGGAGCUUCGGCUCCCCUUCGUGUUUCUGCCAUUUGCCCCCCCUGCUCGC
rnacentral:sRNA from 1 species